rnacentral:rRNA from 1 species
CAUGUAGGCGGAUUAAUAAGUUUGAAGUGAAAUCCUAUAGCUUAACUAUAGAACUGCUUUGAAAACUGUUAAUCUAGAAUGUGGGAGAGGUAGGUGGAAUUUCUGGUGUAGGGGUAAAAUCCGUAGAGAUCAGAAGGAAUACCGAUUGCGAAGGCGAUCUACUGGAACAUUAUUGACGCUGAGAUGCGAAAGCGUGGGGAGCAAACA